AUUGAACGCUGGCGGCAGGCCUAACACAUGCAAGUCGAGCGAGCGGCGGACGGGUGUGUAAUGUCUGGGAAACUGCCUGAUGGAGGGGGAUAACUACUGGAAACGGUAGCUAAUACCGCAUACCAUCAGAUCUGCCCAGAUGGGAUUAGCUAGUAGGUGGGGUAAUGACUCACCUAGGCGACGAUCCCUAGCUGGUCUGAGAGGAUGACCAGCCAGACUGGAAGUGAGACAGGGGACAGUCUCCGACGGGAGUCGGCAGUGGGGGAUAUUGCGAAAUGGGCGCAAGCCAGAUGAAGCCAUGCCGAGUGUGUGAAGAAGGCCUUAGGGUUGUAAAGCACUAUGAGCGGGGAGGAGUUACCAGCAGAAGAAGCACCGGCUAACUCAGUGCCAGCAGCCGCGGUAAUUC
rnacentral:rRNA from 1 species